CGAAGUUCCUCCGAUGACUCGGCGGGCAGCUUCCGGGAAACCAAAGCUUUUGGGUUCCGGAUGAAGUAUGGUUGCAAAGCUGAAACUUAAAGGAAUUGACGGAAUGGCACCACCAGGAGUGGAGCCUGCGGCUUAAUUUGACUCAACACGGGAAUCCUCACCAGGCCCAGACACCGGAAGGAUUCACAGAUUUAGAGCUCUUUCUUGAUUCGGUGGGUGGUGGUGCAUGGCCUGGAGCAGUGCUCUUCUUCCAUAGUAGAAAUGUCGCGACCCGUUAGGUGCUGACCAGAGGAGUCGAUCCGCUAAAUGAGAAGCACUUGGGUUGAUGCAGCGUCUGGCCUCGCGCCGACGCGUGUGGGGAAUUGCCGACUUGUUCAGCGCGGGUGUCCGUUCGUCGUCACGGCCCCGGCCCCGUCUCGCCGUCGGUCGUCGGGUGUUUUCGGACUGGAUCGCCACUUCCGUCUGCGACGCCCACCUUCGGAUGGUCUCCCGACCCGUCUUGAAACACGGACCAAGGAGUCUAACAUGUGCGCGAGUCAUUGGUUUGUGCUAAGCCUACAGGCGAAAUGAAAGUGAAGGCCGCUUGGUGCGCGGCCGAGGGAAGAUGGUACCAGCGACCCGGGCUCCGGUCCGUGCCCGAUCCGCAUUCCCGGGGCAUCUCGUCCUCAUUGCGAGGUGAGGCGCACCUAGAGCGUACACGUUGGGACCCGAAAGAUGGCCUGGCCAGGACGAAGUCAGGGGAAACCCUGAUGGUGGUCAGUAGCGAUUCUGACAUGCAAAUCGAUCGUCGGAGCUGGGUAUAGGGGCGAAAGACUAAUCGAACCAUCUAGUAGCUGGUUCCCUCCGAAGUUUCCCUCAGGAUAGCUGACACUCGGAGGAAAGAAAGAAAGAGUCUCAUACGGUAAAGCGAAUGAUUAGAGGACUUGGGGCCGAAACGACUUCAACGUAUUUUCAAACUUUAAAUGGGUGAGAACCCCGGCUUGCUUGAGGAUGAAGCCAGUGAUGGAUCACGAGUGCCAAGUGGGCCACUUUUGGUAAGCAGAACUGGCACUGUGGGAUGAACCAAACGCCGAGUUAAGGCGCCUGAAUCGACGCUUAUGGGAAACCAUGAAGGCAUUGGUUGCUUAAGACAGCAGGACGGUGGCCAUGGAAGUCGGAAUCCGCUAAGCAGUGUGUAACAACUCACCUGCCGAAGCAACUAGCCCUGAAAAUGGAUGGCGCUGAAGCGUCGUGCCUAUACUCGGCCGUCAGCGCAUUAGGAGCGUGCCGGCGCCCUUCGGGGUGGUCGGUGCUCGAAGAAACCCUGUCGAGUAGGAGGGUCGCGGCGGUGAGCGCAGAAGGGCAUUGGCGCGAGCCUGCCUGGAGCCGCCGUCGGUGCAGAUCUUGGUGGUAGUAGCAAAUACUCAAGCAAAGUCCUUGAGGACUGAAGCGGAGAAGGGUUUCGUGUGAACAGCCGUUGCACAUGAGUCAGUCGAUCCUAAGCCCUAUGUGAAAGCUGAUGCCGAUGGGUGGUAUGUCAGGUCGUUAUACUCCCGGCGGGCGAAAUGGAAUCCGGUUCCUAUUCCGGAACCCGGCAGCGGAACGGUUCCGAUUCGGGCCCUCGCGAGAGUGUUCGUCGGAGUAACCCAAAAGGACCCGGAGACGCCGUCGGGAGAUCUGGGAAGAGUUUUCUUUUCUGUAUGAGCGUUCGAGUUCUCUGGAAUCCUCUAGCAGGGCGAUAGGGUUUGGGACGCGAAGACCACCGCAGUUGCGGCGGUGUCCAGAUCUUCCCCUCGGACCUUGAAAAUCCGGGAGAGGGCCACGCGGAGCAUUCGCGCCGGGUCGUACCCAUAUCCGCAGCAGGUCUCCAAGGUAAAGAGCCUCUAGCUGAUAGACUAAUGUAGGUAAGGGAAGUCGGCAAAUUGGAUCCGUAACUUCGGAAUAAGGAUUGGCUCUGAGGACCGGGGAGUUUCAAGCUUGGUCGGGAAGCGGGUUCGCGGUAACGUGUCGGUCCUGGGCGAGGUGAUAGCUGGCGAACCCCGCCUCGUGCGGUGACGAGCCUCUAGGAUCCGAGCUCGGUCCUGUGCCUUGGCCGCCCACGGAUCUUCCUUGCUGCGAGGUGGCUUCAGCCGCGGUCCUGUGUGGGCCAGGUGGUGCCCCUCUUCGGCCGCCAUUAAACGGUCAACUCAGAACUGGCAUGGACCUGGGGAAUCCGACUGUCUAAUUAAAACAAGGCAUUGCGAUGGCCCCAAAGUGGUGUUGACGCAAUGUGAUUUCUGCCCAGUGCGCUGAAUGUCAACGUGAUGAAAUUCAAGCAAGCGCGGGUAAACGGCGGGUGUAACUAUGACUCUCUUGGGAAUCUCAGCGGGGAAAGAAGACCCUGCUGAGCUUGACUCUAGUCUGGCACUGUAAGGAGACAUGAGACGUGUAUCAUAAGUGGGAGACGGGGUCUCCCUGUCAACGGUGAAAUGCCACUACUUUCAUCGUUUCUUUUCUUACUUGGUUGAGCGGAGCGUGUGACGUUGGGCCUCUCAUGCACCUCGGCAUACUUUUUCUUGUUCCAAGCGCUCAAGAGAACUCGGGGCCGCCAAGCGUCCUCGCGGCGUCGCGCUGCGCCCCUGGGUUGCACAUACCCCCGCGUAAUCCGAUCCAAGGACACUGCCAGGCGGGGAGUUUGACUGGGGCAGUACAUCUGUCAAAUGAUAACGCAGGUGUCCUAAGGCUAGCUCAGCGAGAACAGAAACAUCGUGUGAAGCAAAAGGGCAAAAGCAGGCUUGAUCCCGACACUCAGUAUGUGUAGGGACUGCUAAAGCACAGCCUAUCUAUCCUUUUGCCUUGAGGAGUUUUCAGCAAGAGGUGUCAUAAAAGUUACCACAGGGAUAACUGGCUUGUGGCGGCCAAGCGUUCAUAGCGACGUCGCUUUUUAAUCCGUCGAUGUCGGCUCUUCAUAUCAUUGCGAAGCAGAAUU
rnacentral:rRNA from 1 species